rnacentral:rRNA from 1 species
GACGAACGCUGGCGGCGUGCUUAACACAUGCAAGUCGAACGGAAAGGCCUGCUUUCCCUUGUGGAUUGCGGGUACUCGAGUGGCGGACGGGUGAGUAACACGUGAGUGAUCUGCCCCCAACUUGGGUAUAAGCCUGGGAAACUGGGUCUAAUUCCCGAUAGGACUGCAGGGUGGUGCCUGUGGUGGAAAACGAUUUUCUAGUGGUUGGGGAUGAGCUCGCGGCCUAUCAGCUUGUUGGUGGGGUAAUUGCCUACCAAGGCGGCGACGGGUAGCCGGCCUGAGAGGGUGGACGGCCACAUUGGGACUGGGAUCAGGCCCAGACUCCUACGGGAGGCAGCAGUGGGGCAUAAUGCACAAUGGGCGGAAGCCUGAUGCAGCGACGCAGCGUGGGGGAUGACGGCCUUCGGGUUGUAAACUCCUUUCGACCGCGAGGAAGCCACCUGGUUGGAAGGGUGGUGACGGUAGUGGUAGAAGAAGCACCGGCUAACUACGUG